CCUACGGGGGGCAGCAGUGGGGAAUAUUGCACAAUGGGGGAAACCCUGAUGCAGCGACGCCGCGUGAGUGAAGAAGGAUUUCGGUAUGUAAAGCCCUAUCAGCAGGGAAGCAGAAAGACGGUACCUUACUAAGAAGCGCCGGCUAACUACGUGCCAGCAGCCACGGUAAUACGUAGGGGGCAAGCGUUAUCCGGAUUUACUGGGGGUAAAGGGAGCGUAGACGGCUGUGCAAGUCUGAAGUGAAAGCCCAGGGCGCAACCCUGGGACUGCUUUGGAAACUGUGGAGCUAGAGUGCUAGAGAGGUAAGUGGAAUUCGUGGUGUAGCGGUGAAAUGCGUAGAUAUUAGGAGGAACACCAGUGGCGAAGGCGGCUUACUGGACAGUCACUGACGUUGAGGCUCGAAAGCGUGGGGAGCGAACAGGAUUAGAUACCCCGGUAGUC
rnacentral:rRNA from 1 species